rnacentral:rRNA from 1 species
GGACCUGACUGCUAUCGGAUUGAUACUAAGCCAUGCGAGUCAUUGUAGUAAUACAAGGCAGACGGCUCAGUAACGCGUAGUCAACCUACCCUAUGGACGGGGAUAACCUCGGGAAACUGAGAAUAAUACCCGAUAGAACAUUAUGCCUGGAAUGGUUUAUGUUUCAAAUAAUUUAUUGCCGUAGGAUGGGACUGCGGCCUAUCAGUUUGUUGGUGAAGUAAUGGCCCACCAAGACUAUUACAGGUACGGGCUCUGAGGGGAGUAGCCCGGAGAUGGGUACUGAGACACGGACCCAGGCCCUAUGGGGCGCAGCAGGCGAGAAAACUUUGCAAUGUGCGAAAGCACGACAA